ensembl:snRNA U4 U4 spliceosomal RNA
AGCUUUGCACAGUGGCGGUACCAUAGCCAGUGAGGUUUAUCCGAGGUGUGAUUAUUGCUAAUUGAAAGCCUCCCAAUACCUCACCAUGGCGGAUUGAAAUAUAGUCCGCAUUGGCAAUUUUUGACAGUCUCUACCGAGA